ensembl:snRNA U1 U1 spliceosomal RNA
CGGCGUCUCUGGAUGGGGGAGAUACCAUGCUCACGAAGGUGGUUUCCCCAGGGUGAGGCUCAUCCAGUGCACUGAGGGUGUGCUGACCCCUGCGAUUUCCCCAAAUGCGGGAAAUUCGACUGCAUGAUUUGUGGUAGAGGGGGACUGCGUUCACGCUUUCCCCUG